rnacentral:rRNA from 1 species
UACGGAGGGUGCAAGCGUUGUUCGGAAUCACUGGGCGUAAAGGGCGUGUAGGCGGUCCGCUAAGUCUGAUGUGAAAGCCCGGGGCUCACCCCCGGAAGGGCAUUGGAAACUGGCGAACUCGAGUCCCGGAGAGGAGGGUGGAAUUCCCGGUGUAGCGGUGAAAUGCGUAGAUAUUGGAAAGAACACCGAUGGCGAAGGCACUCUACUGGGCUAUUACUGACACUCAGAGACGAAAGCUAGGGGAGCAAAUGGG